rnacentral:rRNA from 1 species
GGCCUAGCUGGCCGGUCCGCCUCACCGCGAGUACUGGACUGGCUGGGCCUUCCCUCCUGGGGAACCCCAUGGCCUUCACUGGCUGUGGCGGGGAACCAGGACUUUUACUGUGAAAAAAUUAGAGUGUUCAAAGCAGGCCUUUGCUCGAAUACAUUAGCAUGGAAUAAUAGAAUAGGACGU